CCUACUGAGAGAGGACCGGAGUUGCCCACCUUAACAUCAGACUGGAAUUUCACUCAAACUGAGGAGGAAGGGCUUCACUUGCUUAUGGACAACAAAUAAUGUGGUAGCAAGGAAAUUCAUCUUGCCCAGGCCGCAUCCAGGUUUAAAUCAGAUUUGCUGUCAGAUUUGAAGCAGUGUCUGAAAUGGGGAUUCACCACGACAGCAAUGAAGUGUUUAUGAAUUAAAGGUAUCCCUUCAACUGGAGAAAGACAAUUGAAAGCAGAGGUCUCCCUUGCCUCCCAUGAUGUGAACAGCUAACAGAAGCAUUUUAUAUCUUUGACGAUUAGGAAGUAAAUGAUAGGAAAAGGACCAAAAAACCACUCUACCCGCAGAGAACAGUGGAACUCCAGGAGAACAGAUUGAUCACUGAUUCAGAAGCAAGGAACUACUGUGAUAUGGCCCUGGCUUCUCACUCAAUUGGAGAUGGCAACGUUUUAGUGGUUUUAGUGCUAAUCAUCUAUGAAAGAGCACAAAAGGUAGCAUGCCCCCAGAGAGCAAGACAAUCAGGAUCUGUGUGGCUGUUACAACCCCGCUAAGAGGA